rnacentral:rRNA from 1 species
AUUGAACGCUGGCGGCAGGCCUAACACAUGCAAGUCGAGCGGAUGAAGGGAGCUUGCUCCUGGAUUCAGCGGCGGACGGGUGAGUAAUGCCUAGGAAUCUGCCUGGUAGUGGGGGAUAACGUCCGGAAACGGGCGCUAAUACCGCAUACGUCCUGAGGGAGAAAGUGGGGGAUCUUCGGACCUCACGCUAUCAGAUGAGCCUAGGUCGGAUUAGCUAGUUGGUGGGGUAAAGGCCUACCAAGGCGACGAUCCGUAACUGGUCUGAGAGGAUGAUCAGUCACACUGGAACUGAGACACGGUCCAGACUCCUACGGAGGCAGCAGUGGGGAAUAUUGGACAAUGGGCGAAAGCCUGAUCCAGCCAUGCCGCGUGUGUGAAGAAGGUCUUCGGAUUGUAAAGCACUUUAAGUUGGGAGGAAGGGCAGUAAGUUAAUACUUUGCUGUUUUGACGUUACCAACAGAAUAAGCACCGGCUAACUUCGUG